CAAAAAAAAGGUUGAAAUAAAGUGUCCACCUUUUGCCGGUGGGCACGAUAAACCAAAAAAGAUCAACCCCACUUUUGUGCACUCAUUGGAGUCAUGGAUCUUUUUUGAUCCGUGGCUCCCAACCUCUUUUUUCCUCUCUUUUUUUUUUUCUGUCUGAGUUUGGUAAAACAAACAAAUAAUAUCAUA
rnacentral:misc_RNA from 1 species